CAUUAUACAUCUCUCUCCCCUCUCCUCUCUUUUUUCAUUCCUCACCAUCAUCACACACACUACCCUCGUCCCUCUGUUGAUUACUCAUAGAGGAAGAAAAGAAUCAACUAGGAAGUUCUCUCUUUUGAGGGGAAUGUUGUCUGGCUCAAGGCCACAAGAAAGCUCGAAUCUAUCUUUCUUAUCUAUACGUAUACACAUGUGUGAUAAGAUCCAUCCAGUUUUUGAAUGGAUUGAGCCUCAAAUGAUCUCUGAUGAUUAGUGAUUAAUGAUUAGUGUCAAACCAAUCUUGAUCAUGGGUUCUGGUGUCGUCGGACCAGGCUUCAUUCCCCUCAAUUGUCCUUCCUUUAAUAUUCAUAAAGUUUGGAUCUUUCGGAAUCUGCCCACUUUCGCUCACCAACAAGAUGAAGGCGCAGAUUGGUAUAAUGAUGAGGAAUCAUGUUUGACUUUUCUGUAAAUCGGUCAAACACCCGUAAACAGGAUGCUACUUCGAAAGUGACCAGUUUGCAAUUUAGCCAUGGAUGUAUAGAAGAAGCUUUCAGGAACAUUCGAGUUGUGAAGAAUCCCUCAACUGAUAAACUCGUUGGAACUACAUUUACAUUUAUUACGGAUUAUACAACACAUGAAUUGUUUAAUGAAGCUUAACAGCUUCAGGAGUCAUUGAUCGAGUUGGGUGUAGUUUAAGAAUGAUGCAAUCGUUUUUAGAAAGUAGAAAAGAAAAUCGAAGUGGAUCUGAGGAGGUGUUUUUACAAUAUUGUUAGCUCUCUGAAGUGCAAUGAUUUUGGGGGUUUGUUUUUUUAUUUUUAAUUAAAAAUAGGUCUUUCUUAAUUUGAGGAUUUGAUUCUGUGUAUGUCAGUAUGUGAUUAAAAUGUUUAUUGUCGUUUUAUUUUAAUAAUUUGGAUAACAUAUAUGAAGAUCAUCGAGGUUUGUCUAAAGUCUCAAAAGAGCCCUGUAAACAUAGAACAAAUACCCAUACUUCAAAUAUGUCUAGUUAGUAGUCAAACUAUAAAGUAUAAAUAGUGAAUAUCCAUUUGUCAACAGACAUUGAAACAUAAUCUACAAGGAAAUCCUCACGGAAAAGAGAGGAAUUGCUACCAUCAUGUGCAAGGGUUACGCUAUCAGGUAAUCAUGUGCAAGGGUUACGCUAUCAGGUAGGGGCAGUGUCCUACCCAAUUAAUCCGAUGUGCCCACCAAAAACGCCGUUAUAACGGCUAGCACACUGACACCCCCUCCCCCCCCACACACACACGAGGGUGGAUUUCCGAUGUUAUGACAUUCGGCGUUACUGUGGCAACGGGAGGCAUAGGAGUUAUUCGCUUGUAUUUUCGAUCAAACGGUCCUAUUUUAGACCGUUGUUAAAUGGUCAUAAACAUUAAAAGGAAUAAGAUUAACUCUACUAUAAAUACACAUAUUUAACUCAUUUUACCUAAACAAUACAUCUAUUUCUCUUAACUUCACAUUUCUCUUAAUUUUCAUUUCUUUUCUUUCUUUCGGGCGUGAUAACAUGUAACAACAUGUUGCCCACACCUAGUAGUCUUAACGGAUGGAGUGGCGGGUGGCCGAUGCACACCAAGAACGCUAUGUGGCGGUUGCUGACUGUUGGACUUGGAGGCUAGAUCCUGCAAUGGUGGUGUGACUAUAGUGAUUUGUUUUGUACCAGUUUUAUGC